GAGACUUGUGCCGUGCCCUGCAAUCCAACAUCAUACCUUUCUGUGACGAGGUGAUGCAGCUGCUUCUGGAAAAUUUGGGGAAUGAGAACGUCCACAGGUCUGUGAAGCCGCAGAUUCUGUCAGUGUUUGGUGAUAUUGCCCUUGCUAUUGGUGGAGAGUUUAAAAAAUACUUAGAGGUUGUAUUGAAUACUCUUCAGCAGGCCUCCCAAGCCCAGGUGGACAAGUCAGACUAUGACAUGGUGGAUUAUCUGAAUGAGCUAAGGGAAAGCUGCUUGGAAGCCUAUACCGGAAUCGUCCAGGGAUUAAAGGGGGAUCAGGAGAACGUACACCGUUGAGUAUACAACCCAGUUCCCUUCGUCCACUGGCCAAUUUGCACUUAGCCAAAUGGGCUAUGUCUGUCAUUCUGUAGCUCGCUUGUGAACCUAGUGCCUGUUGCUUAAAAGGCUGGGAGAAGGGGGAGCAGUGCCCUAAUGAAGAGAGUGGCUUGGGGAAAACUGUAGACUAUUGUUUUUGCUCUGCUUCUUUCUUUUUUUUGUUUUGAGACGGAGUCUCA
rnacentral:sRNA from 1 species